UACGGAGGGAGCUAGCGUUGUUCGGAAUUACUGGGCGUAAAGCGCACGUAGGCGGCUUUGUAAGUUAGAGGUGAAAGCCCGGAGCUCAACUCCGGAACUGCCUUUAAGACUGCAUCGCUUGAAUCCAGGAGAGGUGAGUGGAAUUCCGAGUGUAGAGGUGAAAUUCGUAGAUAUUCGGAAGAACACCAGUGGCGAAGGCGGCUCACUGGCCCGUUACCGACGCUCAGGCGCGACAGCGUGGGGAGCAAACAGG
rnacentral:rRNA from 1 species